AAGGAUCAUUAUUGAAUCCUUAGGAUGUUGCUGGCCUUUGCAAAAGGGCAUGUGCACUCCGCCUUUCAAUCCACCUGUGCACUUAUUGUAGGCUUGUAAAGGGGGAAACCCUUGAUCAACCUACGUAUUUUACACACACUUAAAAGUAACAGAAUGUAACUUAGUAGACCUUGAAUGGUCGAAAACCUAAAUACAACUUUCAACAACGGAUCUCUUGGUUCUC
rnacentral:misc_RNA from 1 species